UCUUUCUUGAUUCGGUGGGUGGUGGUGCAUGGCCGUUCUUAGUUGGUGGAGCGAUUUGUCUGGUUAAUUCCGAUAACGAACGAGACUCUAGCCUGCUAACUAGGCGAUUUCCGGUACCCACAAUAGUGUUACCGGCGAUUCAAUUUCUUCUUAGAGGGACAGGCGGCUCCUAG
rnacentral:rRNA from 1 species